UACAGAGAGCUCAAGCGUUAUCCGGAAUCAUUGGGCGUAAAGCGUACCGAUACGUGGUUCUGAAAGUCAGAUGUGAAAUAACAAAGCUUAACUUUGUUACUGUCAUUUGAAACUCCAGAACUAGAGGGGCAAAGAGGAAGCUGGAACAAACGGUGUAGUAGUGAAAUGCGUUGAUAUCGUUUGGAACAACAAGAGCGUAGGCAGGCUUCUGGGUGCCACCUGACACUGCUAGGACGAAAGCGUGGGGAGCGAAUGGG
rnacentral:rRNA from 1 species